CCUACGGGUGGCAGCAGUGGGGGAUAUUGCACAAUGGGGGAAACCCUGAUGCAGCGACGCCGCGUGAGUGAAGAAGUAUUUCGGUAUGUAAAGCUCUAUCAGCAGGGAAGAAAAUGACAGUACCUGACUAAGAAGCCCCGGCUAACUACGUGCCAGCAGCCGCGGUAAUACGUAGGGGGCAAGCGUUAUCCGGAUUUACUGGGUGUAAAGGGAGCGUAGACGGUUGUGUAAGUCUGGAGUGAAAGCCCAGGGCUCAACCCCGGGACUGCUUUGGAAACUGUGUAGCUGGAGUACAGGAGAGGCAGGCGGAAUUCCUAGUGUAGCGGUGAAAUGCGUAGAUAUUAGGAGGAACACCAGCGGCGAAGGCGGCCUACUGGACUGUAACUGACGUUGAGGCUCGAAAGCGUGGGGAGCAAACAGGAUUAGAUACCCCUGUAGUC
rnacentral:rRNA from 1 species